rnacentral:lncRNA from 1 species
GUAAAUCAAAAUAAACCGUAUAGGCAUGUUAUCUUCCCAACUUUACCCACAACAUACAACCAUCCUCCUUUUUCAUUAGUCACCCUAAUGUUUGUUUCUAAUUAAUUAUUAUAGACCAAGAAUUGAAUGAAUAACAUAAAUAUAAAUAUACAUUUAAACUAUAGGGAGCCUGAAGUAGGCCUAACGUAGUUUCCAAGCCUUCAUUUGCCUCAAAUGCUCAAAGUUCCAAAGCUAAUUUCAUGUCUAGAUGUGUCAGAGUUUCCUAAGGACCUUAAGAAUCCUGAGCAGUACUCACACUCAAACCUUCCUCAAGUAAGAACUGAUUUAUGUGCAGUGUGGGAGUGCCAGCCCUGAUAUGCCAGAGUUCAGACAGAUCUCAAGGGUCUCAAGGCAGUACACAUACCAGAGGGGCAUGACUUAGUAAACUAAGAGUAAAUGAGAGUGCAUAAUGAUUUGAAAGAGUUUGAUAAACAAUAUAAAGAAAUGUCUUAGGAGUGAAAAUAGCUUCUAAAAACCAGUACCAAUUUAGAGAUAAAAAUAGUUUGAGGAAAGUUUGAAA